rnacentral:misc_RNA from 1 species
AACCUAGCACACCUGCGGUGUGUACCUGCGGAGGGAUCAUUACAAGUGACCCCGGUCUAACCACCGGGAUGUUCAUAACCCUUUGUUGUCCGACUCCGUUGCCUCCGGGGCGACCCUGCCUUCGGGCGGGGGCUCCGGGUGGACACUUCAAACUCUUGCGUAACUUUGCAGUCUGAGUAAACUUAAUUAAUAAAUUAAAACUUUCAACAACGGAUCU